rnacentral:rRNA from 1 species
GAUGAACGCUGACAGAAUGCUUAACACAUGCAAGUCGAUGGGGAAGUGGUGCUUGCACCAUGGUAACCAUGGCGGACGGGUGAGUAACGCGUAAGGAACUUGCCUGCGGGACUGGGAUAACAGCAGGAAACUGCUGAUAAUACCGGAUAAGGUCAUUAAGCUGCAUAGCUUAGUGAUGAAAGGAGACGCCUGCGGAGAGCCUUGCGUCCUAUUAGCUAGUUGGAGGGGUAACGGCCCACCAAGGCGAAGAUAGGUAGCCGGCCUGAGAGGGUGGACGGCCACAAGGGGACUGAGAUACGGCCAUUACUCCUACGGGAGGCAGCAGUGGGGAAUAUUGGACAAUGGGGGCAACCCUGAUCCAGCAAUUCUGUGUGCACGAAGACGGUUUUCGGAUUGUAAAGUGCUUUCAGCAGGGAAGAAGGAAGUGACGGUACCUGCAGAAGAAGCGACGGCUAAAUACGUG